UGGGGAAUAUUGCGCAAUGGGCGAAAGCCUGACGCAGCGACGCCGCGUGGGGGAUGAAGCUUCUCGGAGUGUAAACCCCUUUCGACCCGGACGAAUGACCCGCAAGGGUUUGACGGUACGGGUAUAAGAAGCCCCGGCUAACUACGUGCCAGCAGCCGCGGUAAUACGUAGGGGGCCAGCGUUGCUCGGAAUUACUGGGCGUAAAGGGUUCGUAGGUGGUGCGGCAAGUUGGAAGUGAAAUCUCUGGGCUUAACCCAGAGGCUGCUUUCAAAACUGCCGUGCUCGAGUGCGAGAGAGGUCAGUGGAAUUGCAGGUGUAGCGGUGAAAUGCGUAGAUAUCUGCAGGAACACCCGUGGCGAAGGCGGCUGACUGGAUCGCAACUGACACUGAGGAACGAAAGCUAGGGGAGCAAACAGGAUUAGAUACCCUGGUAGUCCUAGCCCUAAACCAUCGGAACUUGGGGUGGCCCGCGUAGGCGGGUCGUCCCGUAGCUAACGCGUUAAGUUCCGCGCCUGGGGAGUACGGUCGCAAGAC
rnacentral:rRNA from 1 species